rnacentral:rRNA from 1 species
GACGAACGCUGGCGGCGUGCUUAACACAUGCAAGUCACGGGGGUGCAGCAAUGCACAACCGGCGAACGGGUGCGUAACACGUGAGCAACCUACCGAUUUGUGGGGGAUAGCCGGCCCAACGGCCGGGUAAUACCGCAUACGCUCGUCGGGCCUCCUGGUCUGACGAGGAAACCUCCGGGGCAAAUCGAGGGGCUCGCGGCCUAUCAGCUAGUUGGCGAGGUCAUGGCUCACCAAGGCGACGACGGGUAGCUGGUCUGAGAGGAUGGCCAGCCACAUUGGGACUGAGAAACGGCCCAGACUCCUACGGGAGGCAGCAGUGGGGAAUCUUGCGCAAUGGGCGAAAGCCUGACGCAGCGACGCCGCGUGGGGAUG